AUUGAACGCUGGCGGCAGGCUUAACACAUGCAAGUCGAACGAUGAAACCUAGCUUGCUAGGUGGAUUAGUGGCGGACGGGUGAGUACAACUUAGGAAUCUACCUAUUAGCGGGGGAUAGCUCGGGGAAACUCGAAUUAAUACCGCAUACACCUUACGAGGGAAAGGGGCCUGACCACUAAAUUUAAUUUAUAGUGUAUUUUAUUUACAAUAAUAUAAUUAAGUUAAAUUUAGUGGUCAGGUCUCACUAAUAGAUGAGCCUAAGCAAGAUUAGCUAGUUGGUGGGGUAAAAGCCUACCAAGGCGACGAUCUUUAGCUGGUCUGAGAGGAUGAUCAGCCACACUGGGACUGAGACACGGCCCAGACUCCUACGGGAGGCAGCAGUGGGGAAUAUUGGACAAUGGGGGCAACCCUGAUCCAGCCAUGCCGCGUGUGUGAAGAAGGCCUUUUGGUUGUAAAGCACUUUAAGCAGUGAGGAAAAGCUAUAUGCUAAUACCAUAUAGCCCUGACGUUAACUGCAGAAUAAGCACCGGCUAACUCUGUGCCAGCAGCCGCGGUAAUACAGAGGGUGCAAGCGUUAAUCGGAAUUACUGGGCGUAAAGCGAACGUAGGUGGUCAAUUAAGUCAGAUGUGAAAUCCCUGAGCUCAACUUAGGAACUGCAUCUGAUACUGAUAGACUAGAGUAGGUGAGAGGGGAGUAGAAUUCCAGGUGUAGCGGUGAAAUGCGUAGAUAUCUGGAGGAAUACCGAUGGCGAAAGCAGCUCUCUGGCAUCAUACUGACACUGAGUUCGAAAGCGUGGGUAGCAAACGGG
rnacentral:rRNA from 1 species